rnacentral:lncRNA from 14 species
GCCUGGCUGUCACUGGGAGCUGCUGGCUGUGACUGGGAUCCACUGACUGUAACUGGGAUCCACUGACUGUAACUGGGAUCCACUGGCUGUAACUGGGAUCCAUUGAUUCACUGGGAGCUGCUGGCUGUGACUGGGGGCUGCUGGCUGUGACUGGGAUCCACUGACUGUAACUGGGAUCCACUGGCUGUAACUGGGAGCUGCUGGUUGUGACUGGGAGCUGCUGGGUGUAACUGGGAUCCACUAACUGUAACUGGGAUCCACUGGCUGUAACUGGGAUCCAUUUAUUCACUGGGAGCUGCUGGGUGCGACUGGGAUCCACUGACUGUAACUGGGAGCAGCUGGUUGUAACUGGGAUCCGCUGGUGUUGUUUGGAUCCGCUAGCUGUAACUGGGAUCCACUGGUGUCACUGGGAUCCACUGGUGUCAGCCUGUGCACAGCCGCUGACCCUCGGGGUCCCCCCAGGACGUUCCUGUCCCUCUGAGCCUGGAGCAGCUGCUCCACCCAAUCACUGAGCUGCUGUUUGGCUGUCGAGGAUCCAUCAGGGCCGGGACCCGCCCGGAUCUGGGAUCCGCCACGCCGUGUUAACUUAUAUCCAAAGUUUUUAAUAAAAGGGCUGGAGCCUUGUCUGUGCUGGUGCCGCCAUCGCGACGGAUCCGCGUCUGGAAGGGGCCCUGGCUCUGGAAUGUGCCUCGCUCUGGGCAGCAUUCCCGGUGUUUGCCAGGCUGUGCCCCGCUCCAGGUGCCGUUCCCGGUGUUUGAGGGGCUGUGCCCCGCUCCAGGUGCUGUUCCCGGUGUUUGAGGGGCUGUGCCCCGCUCCAGGUGCCGUUCCCGGUGUUUGAGGGGCUGUGCCC